rnacentral:rRNA from 1 species
GACGAACGCUGGCGGCGUGCUUAACACAUGCAAGUCGAACGGAAAGGCCCUGCUUUUGUGGGGUGCUCGAGUGGCGAACGGGUGAGUAACACGUGAGUAACCUGCCCUUGACUUUGGGAUAACUUCAGGAAACUGGGGCUAAUACCGGAUAGGAGCUCCUGCUGCAUGGUGGGGGUUGGAAAGUUUCGGCGGUUGGGGAUGGACUCGCGGCUUAUCAGCUUGUUGGUGGGGUAGUGGCUUACCAAGGCUUUGACGGGUAGCCGGCCUGAGAGGGUGACCGGCUACAGUGGGACUGGGGUACGGCCCAGACGCCUACGGGAGGCAAGAGUGGGGAAUAUUGCACAAUGGGCGGAAGCCUGAAGCAGCAACGCCGCGUGCGGGAUGACGGCCUUCGGGUUGUAAACCGCUUUCGCCUGUGACGAAGCGUGAGUGACGGUAAUGGGUAAAGAAGCACCGGCUAACUACGU